rnacentral:lncRNA from 1 species
GGGCGGCGGCGGCCACGGCCUCGCGCACCUCGGCGCGCUGCGCGCUUUGGAGGACGCGGGCGUCCCCGUCGACGUCGUGGGCGGGACGUCGCAGGGCGCGCUCGUGGCGGCGCUGUACGCCGCGCACGCGUCCACGUCGCACAUGCUGCCUCAGGCGCGUUCUAUCUCACACUGGUCUCCAUACGACCGCGUCGGCGUGGUGAACGCCGAUCCUUAAGGACUUUGCCCGGCGUGUCUCUCCGCCCAGGGUCCCUCGCUUUCAAUCCCCGCCCUCGACGCCUUUCAACGCCAACUGACGCCUUUCAACUCCACCUCAGGUGAAGGAUCUCGUGGGCGCGUUGUCGUCGCCGCGGCGUCUGAUCACGGAUCUGACGUUGCCGGUGUUGUCGCUCUUCAGCGGGAAGAGCGUGGACGCUAUUCUGAAGACGGCGCUCGGGGAACACGGCGACAUCGAAGACCUGU